rnacentral:rRNA from 1 species
UACGAAGGGGGCUAGCGUUGCUCGGAUUGACUGGGCGUAAAGGGCGCGUAGGCGGUUCGUACAGUCAGACGUGAAAUUCCUGGGCUCAACCUGGGGGCUGCGUUUGAUACGUGCGGACUUGAGUGCGGAAGAGGGUCGUGGAAUUCCCAGUGUAGAGGUGAAAUUCGUAGAUAUUGGGAAGAACACCGGUGGCGAAGGCGGCGAUCUGGUCCGAUACUGACGCUGAGGCGCGAAAGCGUGGGGAGCAAACGGG